GUCUAGUUCUGGACUGAAUGGGCUCAAGUCAUCUAGUUAACCUCUCUGGAUUUCAGUCUUCUGAAAAGUGAAGCUAAGAGAUCUAGCAUUCUGCAGAAAAGUACUGGAGAUGACUCAGGACUGAAAAUGAUCAUGAAGCCCCUUUGCAAAUAUCAAAGUGGUGAUGAAGCAGUCAUGAACUUUGACCAGAAGCCGUGUUUUGUGGGAUUGCCACUUUAAUCGCUCCUGUUCAUCAUUAGGACUGCAGCCAGAGUGUGGAAGGAGGGACUCCAAAUAUAUAAGAAGAUGCUACCACACCCUGGGAGAUUGGAUUCCCCACUGCGCUGGCUUUCUCAAGCUCUGUGAAAUGUGAUGUUGGCUGGAACUUAUCAUGAAGAGCUUUGCUGUAAAACAGAUCUGGGGUAAAGUGGGUCUUAAAAAUCCUUUCUCUAUACAUCCAUGUAGAUAGAGACCAUCUCCAUUAACAGAAGAGGGAAUGAUGCCAUUCUUAUAAAGAAGCUGUACUGUGGGCACAUUUAUUCCUAAGUUGAUAGUAGCUAUUUUAACUAUGAAAAGGAUCUGCCCAGAUGAAAGAGGGGCUGCCUGUGGAGCACAGCUGGAUGGGGGAAGCAAGG
rnacentral:lncRNA from 1 species